rnacentral:rRNA from 1 species
AUUGAACGCUGGCGGCAGGCCUAACACAUGCAAGUCGAGCGGUAGCACAGAGGAGCUUGCUCCUUGGGUGACGAGCGGCGGACGGGUGAGUAAUGUCUGGGAAACUGCCUGAUGGAGGGGGAUAACUACUGGAAACGGUAGCUAAUACCGCAUAACGUCGCAAGACCAAAGUGGGGGACCUUCGGGCCUCAUGCCAUCAGAUGUGCCCAGAUGGGAUUAGCUAGUAGGUGAGGUAAUGGCUCACCUAGGCGACGAUCCCUAGCUGGUCUGAGAGGAUGACCAGCCACACUGGAACUGAGACACGGUCCAGACUCCUACGGGAGGCAGCAGUGGGGAAUAUUGCACAAUGGGCGCAAGCCUGAUGCAACCAUGCCGCGUGUGUGAAGAAGGCCUUCGGGUUGUAAAGCACUUUCAGCGAGGAGGAAGGCGAUAAGGUUAAUAACCUUAUCGAUUGACGUUACUCGCAGAAGAAGCACCGGCUAACUCCGUGCCAGCAGCCGCAGUAA